UACAGAGGUCCCAAGCGUUGUUCGGAUUCACUGGGCGUAAAGGGUGCGUAGGUGGCCAGGUAAGUUCGGUGUGAAAGCUCGGAGCUUAACUCCGAAAUGGCAUUGAAUACUAUCUGGCUAGAGGGUCGGAGGGGAGACUGGAAUUCUCGGUGUAGCAGUGAAAUGCGUAGAGAUCGGGAGGAACAUCAGUGGCGAAGGCGGCCAUCUGGAUCAACACUGACGCUGAAGCACGAAAGCGUGGGGAGCAAACAGG
rnacentral:rRNA from 1 species